rfam:Ciona savignyi cont_32840, whole genome shotgun sequence.
GUCGUCGUGGGCCGAGUGGUUAAGGCGACAGACUAGAAAUCUGUUGGGCUCUUCCCGCACAGGUUCGAAUCCUGUCGGCGACG